UCUAAAUCAAAAUUUAGAGUAGUAACAGGCUUACAAAAUAUUUUUUGAGCAACAUUUGUACUUAUUGUUUUGCUUAUAUAUUUGCUUUUCAUCUUAUUUAAACUAAAGCUAAUCAAUUGGAAGCCAGCGGGAGUCCACUUGUGUUGAUCAGUUCUAUCUUCAAUUCAAUGAAACCCAUCGUGGAAAGUAUUCCCCCAGUAGGUUCGAGUUGAAAAAAAGGAGCCCGAAAUGAAAUCCAGCCAAAAAACAACGCAACUUGUGCGCACUUCCUCUGCAGAUUCGCAGGGGUUGUGGAAACGGGAGCAUAAUGUACGCAUGGAUUAACCAAUUACAUUGCAAUUUUAAUUUGCAGGCGGGCGAAAUUUUAUUGCGAAAUUGCUGGGAGCAAAAAUGAAAUCAGCGCCGCGGCGAAUAUGGAAUGCAUUGAUAAGGAAAUCCUGAGCGAGGCCCUGUAAUGGCAGCGAAUGUAACCGGUGCCACAAAACGGGGCACAACAGAGAGUGAAUGAGAAUAGCAGCGGGCAGUCGCUUCGGAGGAGCGGGAGCUCCCCACCAGCUCGUCUCCAUCUGGCUUCGAUUGAUGCGGACGAAGGGAAGUGGCGGCCAUAAAAACAAGCACCAAUGCCGCAGCCAGCAGUUCCAUAGCCAGUGCUGUAAAUGUUUGUCCAUUCAUCCAUUCAUCCAUUCAUCCAUUUGUCCAACUGUUCAGCUGUCCGGCACUAUCUGCCACAGUGCGACAGUGUCAAGCAUAAAUCCUCAUCAUAAUUCAAAGCAUUGAUCAUCGCUGCAACCCGCACAGUCCGCAAGCCCCGCACCCGCCGCAAAAAAAAAUGACAAAUUGUUUGGCGCUCGAUUGGCGCAGGAAUUGGACGCCACAUCGACGUCGCCGGAUUGGAGCUGGUGCAGCCGCAUGUGGCGCCUGCGAUUUGCACGUGCAUCGCCUACUGCUGGCCACUUGCAACGUGCCACGUUGUGUGUGUGUGUGUUGUUGCAGGCAGCACAAUAAAAUACUCGUAAAA